CCCUUGAACCACCUCAAGCCUUACCUACGUGACCAUCCACUAUUGUCUGCUGCCCUGUGCUCCCUCCUGACUGUACUGAAGUUGCUAACAAUCUCUCCUGAACAUUGUAUUAAGGGACUUGCCUGCCCCUAAGGACCCUUGAACCACCUCAAGCCUUACCUACGUGACCAUCCACUAUUGUCUGCUGCCCUGUGCUCCCUCCUGACUGUACUGAAGUUGCUAACAAUCUCUCCUGAACAUUGUAUUAAGGGACUUGCCUGCCCCUAAGGACCCUUGAACCACCUCAAGCCUUACCUACGUGACCAUCCACUAUUGUCUGCUGCCCUGUGCUCCCUCCUGACUGUACUGAAGUUGCUAACAAUCUCUCCUGAACAUUGUAUUAAGGGACUUGCCUGCCCCUAAGGACCCUUGAACCACCUCAAGCCUUACCUACGUGACCAUCCACUAUUGUCUGCUGCCCUGUGCUCCCUCCUGACUGUACUGAAGUUGCUAACAAUCUCUCCUGAACAUUGUAUUAAGGGACUUGCCUGCCCCUAAGGACCCUUGAACCACCUCAAGCCUUACCUACGUGACCAUCCACUAUUGUCUGCUGCCCUGUGCUC